UUUAACUUAAAAAAUGCAAAACAGCAACAAGGUUCUAAAACAUGUUUUUCAUUGGGAAAAUAGAGGUAGACGAUGAUGACAAUUACAAUUCAGGCGGAAGUCAAAGUAGUGACAGGAUUCUUAAUAUAAAGAGACACCUCUGUCAAAGUCUGUAGAUUGAAAUCAAAAUGCUGUGGUUUAUCAAUAAUUGGCAUUUUUAGUUUGUUUGCUAAAUAUCACAGGCAGCAAACCCCAUCUCUCUCUUCAAGAAUUAAAUUUGCUAUUAGUCAUCACAUUCUAACCAGGUUAUGGCAGUGCUGCAGCUAACAAUGACUAAAACCCAACUCUUAUUAUUUGCCAGUAAUACGUUUUGUGGAUUUAUUCUUUCUGCAGUGAAAGCUAAUGGAAAAAUGAAGUGUUCUGUAAAGCUUGAGACACUCGUGAAAAGCAUCUGCUAUACGUAAAGACCUCUUGCCACUCAGCAGACACCAACCAUGGUUUCACAGUUUGCCCAGAAGACUUCACAAAUGACAUGUGUGAUGAUGGAUCAGGAGGAAGCAAGGUCCGGCUAGGUUCACCAGCUGGAGUCCAUUGUUCACUAUGGAUGAGUCCUUGGCUGUCUCUGAAGAGGAGGGUUUCAUUUCAUAUGCAACAAAGAUUGUCUUUUCGUGCAGAUAAACCAGCACUGUAGCAUACUUCUGGUUUUUGUGACCUCUCCAAAACCUUUGCGCAGGCAUUUCCUGAUUCCUGGAUUCUGCAGAUUUAGAACCAAAAGAGCCUGAAGAGCAGAGCAUCUGCUCUUUGGAUCCCAUGCACUAUAUUUUAAAGAGCGCGAGUGUUGUAAGCAGUUGGGAUGUGCUUUCUAAAUACAGCCUUCAAGCUUCGCUGCGAUAUGAAGUCUGAGAGUUUCUAUCGUACACAUGCGUCAUGUUCACUUUCAACUGGCUUGAGUCAGAAUGUUGAAGAAAGCAGAUUCUGGAGAUUGUUCCCACAUGAAGCAUUCCCCCACAUCAGUCUGUCACUGCCGCGGAGUCACCGAUACAACAUCCCACUGUUCCUAAGAGAUCCAUGAGCGCUUGCUGAUAUGCCUUUGCCAGGCUUCUCCUGUCUUAUUAAAAAAUAGGAUUUCAUUUAACUCCUCAGAGAGCAAUGGCUUGUCAGAGGAGACUACAAAAGCCUGCAAGCCCUUCCAGCUGGUGAAGAGCAAAUUUUUGAGCAGCUCCUGCCAUCUUGUGGGAUUGAGGAGAACUUUCACUUUGAUUAUUUGUAUUUGGGAAGUCAAAGCUUUCCUUCCUUCCCCACCAACUAGUCAUGGAAAGGAUCACUGAGCCUAGAGGUACACCCCUUUUUGCAGGAACAGACUGGGGAAAACCCACUGCCCUCAGUGGCACGGCUCUGCUGCCCCUGUGGGCAGGUUGGCCAGCUGUAGGUUUUUAGAGGAAGGGAUUGAAAUAUGCAGGGGCUUCUCUUACUGUUGGUCAUACUGGGGGAUUCCUGUGGCCCCAGCUAAGGCGUGGACUGUAGAAGCAUUGCUUCCGUAUCCAGGGUUGUUGCCAGAGAGGCCGAACCACUGAGUGUGGGGUUGGAAACCAAGCAACCCCAGCUAACCCCAUCGUGCUGUGUGGGUGGCCCCAGACAAGGCUCUGAGCAUAGAGAGAGAGGCCAAUAAUUUCUGAGUAAUAAUCCUGUGUUUGUCUUCUCUCGAAACUUCCCACUGCAACGAGCAACGGAUUUGCUCUCUGUAAAUAAUGCAAGCAACUGCCAGUACAUUAACCACCCUGUCCUAUAGAGCUGCUGGUUGUGCAAUAAUUAAAGCACAACAUGGUUUGAAUACCAGAGGCCCAGGUGAAUGCACCCAAGUUGUUGUUAACGGUUGGCAACUGAAAAAGUCUUUGUAGUUUGGUGUGAUGCCUGAGUAAGUGGCAACAAUAUCUUGGAUGUAACAAAUUUGUUUUUACAUCCAUGCACACCAUCAGCUUGAUGGCUUUUUUUUUGGUCUUGCUAGAUGCAGCCAGCUGAAAUUAGCGUGAGCCUUUGUUCGCUUCAGCCUCCUUUGGGUUGAACUCUUCCAUAGAUCAGGUUUUCAUGCGUUUCCAAACUUUUGGGUGACUGAUUUUGCAAUGUGAAAAAUGCUCCUUUCAUAUUUUCAGCUUUUUUUUGUAUUUUCUCCGUUUAAAAACACACUCAGCCAAAAGACAGAGAUUUCUUCAGCAGCGCGUAAUAAUAGAUAGCAGGAGGAGGUUCUCAUAGCUUUAGCAGAUCUGUCCUAGAAGCCAAUAGGAAUCUUUCAAAGUGGGUUUCAUUGGUGCUCUGACAGCAGGGAAGCCUUGAGAUCUUGGAUGCUCUUCCAGGCUCUAGAGGGGAAUAGUCUGGUGGACAUUAGAUUUAUCCACUCAUUCUCCCAUUACCUUCUCUGCCUGCUGUUCCCAGACCUAAUAUCCGUACUGUCUUAGUUCCUGUAUGACUCUGCAUUCAUAAUCUACAUUCCUGCCUCCCCGUAGCCCUUUGACCUCAAAGACUCCUAGUAUCUUUUCUUUGCCAUCUCCAUCCCAGGCUCUGUUUCCCAGACACUUUAUCGCACUUUACUUCACAGAUUUUCUCUGCCGCAUUCCAGGUCUAGGUCCCUCCUCAGAGUAGGACACUUUCCCUCGCCGUACUGCCUGGGUGUCAGCACCUGCACAAGUGAGACAGACAGACUGCUGCCUCACUUUCCCUUGCUCUUGCUUCAGUGUGACCCAGAGAAGCUCCAGAUAAGUUGUGAGUACUGGGAGAGCCUUGUUCUGUCAGGUGUAGGCCUGGGUUGUGUUUUUAUGAGGAUGGCAUAUGUACAUGCAGUACAGCGAUGCAGAAGAUCUGUGUGACUCAAGCAUGAGCAGUUGCUCUGUGGGGAUGGAUGAUGCAUGCACAACCUUGGCAUGCAGAGGAGUUGAAUGAAUUCAUGCUCAGUGUGAUGAAAUUCGAGCCGUUACGUGAAGCUGUGAAACAGAUCUUUACUGAAGAUGAAUAAGUUGCAGUCUUUCAAAGGCUUUGUAUUUUGUGCAAACGUGGGCAGAUUUUCUAGGGAGCAGCAGGUCCAGGCCAAAUUUCAACACGCUCGCUCAUCAAAAGUGCUUCUCUAGCUUUACUUUAAUGAAAAUAAAAAUUAAUAAAACAUCAAGAAAACAACCGUGAACACUGUCAUUUGAACAACAAAAGCAAUAUUUUUCCUUAGCCUUGUUCUUAAAAAUGGAUGGAUAGUUUUGACUGAACUUUUCCAUAGAAUCAGGGACUAAGGCUAAUAGUUUCUCACUUAGUAUGGAAAAUUGCAGCCCGGUAGGUCUGUCUGACAAAUGCAUGAGUAACUGAGAUCUGAGCUCUGCCAGGGGAUGCAUCAGGCAUCUUUAAAAAUAGGGAGUUCUGCUGAUCCUGCCUAUUCAAAAGUUUUUCUAACUCAGAGUACACAUUUAUUGUCCUGAUAAAAUAACUCUGUAACUCCUUUUCAUGUGGAUGAAAUUGUCACCUAUUACCCAGUAUUAGCCAGAUAUGAGGAUCUGGGUGCAGACUAGCUAAUUAACAAUUAGUCUGUAUUAGAUUAAGGUACUAAGAAGUUCAGAGAAACAUUGAGGAACCUGUUGCAACCAAAAGGGUCUGUCCCUUAUUGGAAUAUCCUUCAUUGCAGUGCCUUGUGGCAUACAUUGCCAUGUUUUCAUUUACAGGAGCUGACAGAAACUAGAAAUACUUGUGGGGUUGGGUGCUGCAUAGGCUGUCUCUCUCUGAACCUCAUGUAAAGUUAACCCUCACUUUUCUGACAUUAUAUAUAAGCUAACUCUGCCGUCGCUUUGUAGCCUUGGACGGUACAAGCCAGAAUCUCUGGAACAAAGAUUUUGGUAGCAUGUGUUACCGUGAUGACUACCUCUCCUUUGCACAUGGGAGUCUCAUGUGUAUUGGUGGAGACCGAGGUGACGUAAAUAAUACUGAAAAUAGUCCUAAAAGUUAUGUCUUUGACCGCAGCAUGGAAGAGGAUUGAAGUAAAAGGGAAUCGAAUCCCAAAGCUGCAUGAAUUCUCUGAAUUCUAUUAAGACUUUUGUCUCCCAGUUUGCCCUGUGCUGAGAAACACACAGAAAGAAUCAGAAAGAAUCUAGACUUUUAGUUAAACAAGAAGAAAUGCAACAGAACUGUCAUCUUUGAGUGAAAAUGAAAUAAAGACUACCUUUUCAUUACUUUGAAAA